UAGGGAAUCUUCCACAAUGGACGGAAAGUCUGAUGGAGCAACGCCGCGUGAGUGAAGAAGGGUUUCGGCUCGUAAAACUCUGUUGUUAAAGAAGAACAUAUCUGAGAGUAACUGUUCAGGUAUUGACGGUAUUUAACCAGAAAGCCACGGCUAACUACGUGCCA
rnacentral:rRNA from 1 species